rnacentral:rRNA from 1 species
UCUAAGUUUGAUGGCGACCGGCGCACGGGUGAGUAACACGUAUCCAACCUGCCGAUGACUCGGGGAUAGCCUUUCGAAAGAAAGAUUAAUACCCGAUGGCAUAGUUCUUCCGCAUGGUAGAACUAUUAAAGAAUUUCGGUCAUCGAUGGGGAUGCGUUCCAUUAGGUUGUUGGCGGGGUAACGGCCCACCAAGCCUUCGAUGGAUAGGGGUUCUGAGAGGAAGGUCCCCCACAUUGGACUGAGACACGGUCCAAACUCCUACGGGAGGCAGCAUG